GCUGCCACAAGGCACACUGCUUUCUCUAUACAUUUUAUAUUGUGUAUUUUUGUGGGGUUUUUUAUAUUGCUGAUUUUGGGUACAGUCAACUGGACGGGAGUGGGAGGCAUCACAACAGGCUUCAUAUUGAUUCUUAAUAAUGUGAAACAUGGGUUUCAACAAUUAAAAAAGACUCUAAAAUUAGACUAUUUAAUUUUGUACUUUAAAUCCAGUCGGGCUAUGAGUAGAAUAUGUCAGUACAUGUAAAAAGGAACAUCCAUGUUGGAAUUUAGACGUACUCUGUUGAGUGACCUCUUUUUUUUCCACAUGCUCUGCUGAACCACUUUUUUUUUCAGGCCAUCAUUUAUUCCAGCUACUCAUUAAUGUAAAUCAAAGAACCAGCAUUUGUACAUUAAGCAGACAUGAAUAGACAUAAACAAAAAAAGAAAGAAAAUCAAAUGCAGCACACUCUUCCAGCAAAUGUCUCUGUGACAGAAAAUGAUCAAAGUCUGCACUGACCUUAUGGACUGUCUAUUCUGGAACUUGUCACUCAGUCUGUGAAUAAACAUCAGCAUGGCCUAACUGGAGGAAAUGGGACACAUUGCCCAAUAGUAUUUGCAUCAUGGGAAAUUUAGUUUUGUGGAAAGUCUAUCAAAAAACUUUGUCUUUGAUUAUUUGUAGUGCUCAGCCCUGAGAAUAACCAGCAGGGAUGCUCUUGUCUGUAAAAUCAGGCGGAGACAGGCAUGCACACACAGCACCUUUAAUCUCAUUUUCCUCCUAUCCAGUCCUCCCCUAUUAAAGACAAGGCAGAACACGCUCAGAGGGAGACAAACUGCACACCAGUAAAUCCUGGGCUCUCUUGAGCACUCUGAAAACUCAUCUUUUUAGCCUCUCCCAUCCCCGUCUACCUUUCUGUUUCUCUUCAGUUCCAGGCCCCGUAAUGCCACAUCAAUGACGCAGUAGGGAGGAGGCACCACGCUAAUGUAAACACACGGGUUCAUUUAGACUUUGCUCACCAGGGCCGACGCCAUGAAAGAAAAUAAAGCACAAAGAAGAACUGAAAAAGGAACGCAGACUCUGGCUGACGCAUGGUUCCACCUGUAGCCAUGGAGUCUGGUUUGGGCCUGAUGACAGCCGUGCCGCCCAAACACCUUUUUCCCCACAAUUCAGAUUUCCCAACAGGUGAAAACAGGCGACAGGACCAUUACACCAUCCAACCAGGGGACUGGGCGAUUGUUAAGGACUUCAGGAGGAAGCAUUGGGACUCCAAACGAUGGCGAGGCCCCUUCCAGGUCCUUCUGACGACCCACACGGCUGAAAGAUCGCAGUGAGAGUGACUUGGAUCCACUCCAUCCACUGCAGGAAGGUCCCAGAUCCAACAGACGACCCUCCAUCUACAUCUACACCACACGAGAAAGCCACCACUGACGAAAAGAAGAGAGAAGGACGACCCUCGCUGUGCUCACACACGCACUGAGGCGAGGCUGCGUUGACCGUUCAGCUAAAGGUGUGAGCCAAGCGCCGCCUAAAGCUGCACCGGUGAAUCACACUAUCAGACCAUACAUCUACACACAUGUUUCUGAGAAAACACACACACGAGCAGCCUUGAGUUGCCGACGCUGGACGACGUGUAGACUCUUCACAUCACGGGAGUGACAGUGACUCAGACGACAUUGGGAGGAAACCUGGCGGUGAUAACGAACCCCAAGUGUCUCUGUGAUCAGCUGAUCACAACCUGAAGAACCCCAACGAACUGUCAAUACUUCAACACACAGGUUGGAAACAAUCUAACGCUACUGUUCAACAGGAAGAAGCAGAUUGUUACGAGACAUCAAUUGUAAACAUGCUUUGUUAGACUUCAUUUUAUGUUACUUGGAUUAUUGCCUUUAGCAUAUGAUGUUUCUAUGUAACUUUACACACUACUUUUGAAUGAGAAAAUUCACAACAACAACAACACUGAGUUUAAAUAUCCUGAAGUUGACUUGGUGUUUAAUUUGCUCACAAUCACUUUAUUCACUGCUACAAUUAGUUCUAUCCUUCAUCUACAGAUGAAAGACAACAGAAGCGGAAAUAUGCAUCAUCAUUCUGGUUAAAUCCCUGAAUCUCCUAUUCGCUCUAGACGCAAAUGUACAAUUAAAGAUCCGAAAGCAUUAAAUCUAUCUUAAGAAUAUAUGAAACAGAACCCCACCGGAAACGUAUGGCUAUCAUACAUUAAUUGUCUUUAUUAUAUUACAAUUGAAUGGCCGUAGACACGUUGUUAGCAGAGAAAAGAGGCGUUUGUGUUAUGUUUGGAGAGGCAUGUUGUACUUACAUCCUGAAUAACACUGAUUCUAAUGGUAUUGUGGCGAAGGCGCUACACGGCCUUCAGAAUCUCAGCUAACUCUGGUAUAGAUUCUUCCUCUUGGAAUUGGCUAGACGAAAUGUCUGGAAAAUGGAAAUCUGUUCUCAUGUCCACAGCUGUUUCCUUUAUAAUUGAGAUGGCUGUGAUUCUCUUGUUUGGUUUUUGCAUUAUCCCACUGGUUAGAGGUCGCAUCAUGCGUGCGACCUCAGCAACACUCUCGUAUGAGAUGACACAAUGCACUAUGUUCAAAAACCCCAACUCUAAUUUACUUAAUGACUUUGACGAUGAUCUUAGUCUAUCUAAUCACAAAAUAUAAUCUGAUACAAAUAUGAUUAUGAGCUUAUUUUCUUCACAUGCCAAUACAGAGGUUAUUCUUGUAUAACUACCCACCAAAAACAGCUCCCAACCUUUUGUCCCUUAGUUACUUCCAUUUUAUGUGAAGGUGUAUUUUGAAUCUUGAUGAGUUAAUACCCUUAUUGUUUCAUUUGCAAGGAUCUUUUAUUAUUACAGAAUGUGAUGUUGACAAUUUUUCUUCUUAGUGGUUGAUUAAUGUGUAAUCAAAAGGGGGGAGUGUUAUGGCAAAAAUUGUCUCUUCCUUAUUUCUAUGUCUCUUCCUUAUUUCUAUGCAGUUAUUAUACGAGUUAUGACUUAUGUUCUGCAAUUAAUAUCUUAUGUUUUGUCUUACUGUAUGCAUUUGACAUUUCACCUAGAUUGUUCAAUGGUUGUCUCUGCUGUGAUAGACUCUCAACUCUAGCUCCCAAACCCAAGGUCGGGGAGUUGUGUCUCUGUCUGUUGAGACUUGGUGCUCCUUUCUCACAGAUAGUUGGACGUCAGCGAUGCAGGUGUGAGAAAGUAAAAAUCUUCACACACACUGCGACAGGGAGGAGAUGGUGCAUGUAAUUUGAUUGGGUUGGAAAGACAUUCCACCCUAGUCGGACAGAGAAGCUAAAAGGCAGAAGCAACUUGAGGAUCGUGGGCUCUUUGCAUCACACCUUCGUGGUGUGUGCACUGAUCUCCCCAGCUGGUUUUUGGUUUGUUGAUGUGCACGAUCAACAUCCAUGCUUUUUAUUUGCUUUCCCCAUUAUUUUUAUUUUCUUUAUUAUUUCAAUAAAUCGCACAAAAGGACAA